UCCUCCUUAGCUCAGUGGUAGAGCGCGUCACUAGUAAUGACGAGCUCAGUCGUUCAAGUCGGCUAGGAGGAA